AUGGCCAUCGUCCUCAUCGGCCUCUCAUGGGGCGCGGUCUACGUGCCCGCGGGCCGCGGUGAUGCUGAGGCCAUGCAAGCCAUCGCCAAGUCCAUCGGGUGGGCCGUCCCCUCAUCCGCCCCGUGCGACGGCACCUGGAUGGGCGUGAGCUGCAACGAGAUCGGCCGCGUCACCUCCAUCGUCGUCACCCACGCCGGCCUCCACGGUGUUCUCAACGGAUCCGACCUAGGCAAGCUCACGUUCCUGUCCAACCUCGACCUCAGCUUCAACGGCCUUAUCGGCCACCUCCCGCUCCUGCCGACGCCUCACCAGCACCUCCGCAACAUCGAUCUCAGCUCCAACUCCUUGACAAGAAUCCUCGGCGGCUUCUUUGCCGCCCUGCCGGCCCUCGAGGCAAUCGCGCUCGACAACAACGACAUGCUACUAUUGUGGGAUCAGCGGGACCUUGUCACCUGCUCCGCCCUACGCAGCUUCUCCGCCAACAACGCCUCCGUAUAUGACAACUUCCCCAAUUUCUUCGGCGACGUCGCCUUGUUCCCCGCCCUCGCGAGGAACAGGAUGUCUGGGGCCGUCAGCACCGGUUUCGGCGCUAACAGCAAUAUCAAGUACCUAGAUGUCGGUGGCCAGCACAACGACCGAGAUAAGAUCACCGGCUGCCUCGACUUGUUCAUCCCCGACAUGGUCAACCUUGUGGAGGCUCACUUGGAUCACAGCGGCUUCUUCGGGCCCCUCCCAGAUGUUACCAAGCUUGUCAACCUCCGCGUCUUCGAUGCAUCCUACAACGACCUCUGUGGACACCCCAAGUUCGCCCCCGGGACGGCGGUCACCCUUGAUGGAAAUCCCAAUGUCGGAUUUGCAUGCUAG
rnacentral:rRNA from 1 species